rnacentral:rRNA from 1 species
GGAUUAGAUACCCUGGUAGUCCACGCUGUAAACGAUGAUCACUCGACAUUGGCGAUAUACUGUCAGUGUCCAAGCGAAAGUGUUAAGUGAUCCACCUGGGGAGUACGAUCGCAAGGUUGAAACUCAAAGGAAUUGACGGGGGCCCGCACAAGCGGUGGAGCAUGUGGUUUAAUUCGAUGAUACGCGAGGAACCUUACCAGGGCUUAAAUGCAUAAUGACAGACUGGGAAACCAGUCCUUCUUCGGACAGAAUGCAAGGUGCUGCAUGGCUGUCGUCAGCUCGUGCCG